rnacentral:lncRNA from 1 species
AUCUGCACGAAGCAGACGGCUGCUAUCUAUACAAUCAAUUUAUCAUCUUAGCAUGUAGAGAAAAAUAACAUAUACUAAACUAGCUUUUCAUUACGCAUUAACUUCUGAAUUGUUAAAGAUACUCUAUUUGUUCUUCAAAUCACUACUUUAUUCUUAACAUAAAAAUAAAUAAAUAAUUAACUUUAGUUCUCUCUUUAUUAAAAAAAGAAUCAAAAUUUCAUAUUAAAUUAAAGUGGUAAAUAUUUCAUGGUUAAAAAUUACACCGCGAUAUAAGUGC